ACUCCUACGGGAGGCAGCAGUGGGGAAUAUUGCACAAUGGGCGCAAGCCUGAUGCAGCCAUGCCGCGUGUGUGAAGAAGGCCUUCGGUUGUAAAGCACUUUCAGUCGUGAGGAAGGUAGUGUAGUUAAUAGCUGCAUUAUUUGACGUUAGCGACAGAAGAAGCACCGGCUAACUCCGUGCCAGCAGCCGCGGUAAUACGGAGGGUGCGAGCGUUAAUCGGAAUUACUGGGCGUAAAGCGCAUGCAGGUGGUUUGUUAAGUCAGAUGUGAAAGCCCGGGGCUCAACCUCGGAAUAGCAUUUGAAACUGGCAGACUAGAGUACUGUAGAGGGGGUAGAAUUUCAGGUGUAGCGGUGAAAUGCGUAGAGAUCUGAAGGAAUACCGGUGGCGAAGGCGGCCCCCUGGACAGAUACUGACACUCAGAUGCGAAAGCGUGGGGAGCAAACAGGAUUAGAUACCCUGGUAGGAUAGCG
rnacentral:rRNA from 1 species